CAUGUAGUAAGUUUAGUGUGCAGUUCAACGCGCCGAUUUGAGCAGGAGCGACACGUCGGCUUUGAAGUUUCAAGUGAGCGUUUAUUAUGGAAGGUGGAAAUAAUAUUUCCUGAAAAGUGUAAAUUCUAUCACUAUUAUCCUAUCGAUAAACCUAGCAGUCUAAGAAUUGUCAAAAAUGCGGAUCGUUCAAUUGAAGAGAACCCGUUUUGUCAAUGUUUUGCUGGGUCUAUUGUUGUUUGUGAUAAUCGUAUAUGCACUGUAUGUGUUUUCAUCCAAUGGCCAGCCUAACAAUUUGAAAAAGUACUGGGCUGCGGCAUCUAAAUCUCGACAGCUACCAGUGAUCAGCGAUGACUUGGGAAACUUUGAGCCACGAAAUGUAGUUGUGAGAACAGGCCCUGGUGAGGAGGGUAAGGCUCACAUUUUGAGAGACGACCAACAAAAUGAUGUACAGCAAUCCGAGUCUGAUUAUGGCAUGAACAUGGUUUGUUCUGAUGAAAUUUCUUUGGAUAGAUCUGUUCACGACACCAGACCAGCUGAGUGCAAGCAUUGGAAUUAUGCAUCCGAUUUGCCGAAAACCAGCGUUAUUAUAGUAUUCCACAAUGAAGGAUGGUCGGUCUUAAUGCGUACCGUACACAGCGUCAUAAAUCGAACACCGCCAGAGUUCUUGGAAGAGGUACUUUUGGUUGACGACUAUUCUGACAAAGACAAUUUAAAAGGCGAUCUAGAAGCGUAUAUUGAACGAUGGGAUGGUAAAGUACGUCUCAUACGAAAUCAUGAGAGACAGGGCUUAAUAAGAACGAGGUCCAGGGGAGCCCGAGAGGCUACUGGUGAAGUGAUCGUGUUUUUAGAUGCCCAUUGUGAGGUCAAUACCAAUUGGUUACCGCCAUUACUUGCGCCAAUAUAUGUGAACAGCAAGGUGAUGACAGUUCCGGUGAUCGAUGGAAUAGAUCACAAAUCUUUCGAAUACAGGCCAGUUUAUCAGGAGGGUCAUUUGUAUCGAGGUAUCUUUGAGUGGGGAAUGUUGUACAAAGAAAAUGAAUUGCCAAGGAGAGAGGCGAAAACACGAUCGCAUGAUAGCAUGCCCUAUAAAUCACCGACUCAUGCCGGGGGCCUGUUUGCUAUCAACCGUGAAUAUUUUCUAAGUCUGGGUGGUUACGACGAUGGCCUCUUGGUUUGGGGUGGUGAAAACUUCGAGCUUUCUUUCAAAAUAUGGCAAUGUGGAGGCAGCAUUGAAUGGGUGCCUUGUUCUCACGUCGGGCAUGUUUAUCGGGGCUUCAUGCCUUACACGUUUGGUAAACUGGCUCAAAAGAAGAAGGGCCCUUUGAUCACGAUUAAUUACAAACGGGUGAUCGAAACUUGGUUCGAUGAAAAGCACAAGGAGUUUUUCUACACAAGAGAACCCUUGGCAAGAUUACUCGAUCAUGGAGACAUCACAGAGCAGUUGGCUCUGAAAGAAAGGCUGCAGUGUAAAGACUUUCAGUGGUUUAUGGAUAACGUGGCCUACGACGUACUUGACAAAUAUCCAGAAUUGCCACCAAAUGUUCAUUGGGGAGAGCUUCGCAGUGUUGCCACUUCCUCGUGUCUAGAUACAAUGGGUCACCCUCCACCCAACCUGAUGGGGACUUCUCACUGCCAUGGGUUUGGCAAUAAUCAGCUCAUAAGACUGAAUGCCAAAGGGCAAUUGGGUGUUGGAGAACGUUGCAUAGAAGCUGAUGGACAGGGUGUAAAAUUAGCGUUUUGUAGACUUGGAACUGUCGAUGGACCCUGGCAGUAUGACGAGAAAACGAAAACUCUUAUGCACAGGGUGCAUAAAAAAUGUAUGGCAUUGCAUCCCCAGACACAGCAUUUAUCUUUGAUGCCCUGUGACGUUAACAACACUUAUCAACAGUGGACCUUCCAUCAAAUGCAUCCACGCUGGUGAGGUUUAGUGGAGGAACAUUAAUUUUUUCAUCAGUUAUUACCGAAGCAAAUGCUAAGUAGAAAUAUUUGUCUGACAUAAAAUGGUUGAAUCUGCGCCAACGAUAUAGAGUCAGUAGUUUGUUCCUUUCUUUUGUAAACGCUCUAAAGGCCGCUCUCAAUCCAACAUUGUCAGCAAUAUUUUCGGAUAACGUGUAUCUGCCGUCUAUCUAUUGAUGAGACAAUAAUUUCUGUACCAAGUUAGGUUUAAUUUAAUUUAAAUAAUUAAAUGGUAAAAUCUUUACAGUUGCUUCAGAAUCUCCCGAAAUGUAUUGGUUAUAUUGUUUGAUGAAGCAUUUAGUUUUUGUCGCGUAUACUUGUUCAGUUGACUGGGACCACCAGCCUUUCAAUGAGCCUUCAGCAUCCAAUAAUCGUCCUGAAUACGUGAACAAUUGAUUAACUUUUCGUAAAUGAUACCUUCCACUACUCCCAGAGAAGAAUGGCUCUGCCAUUGUGCUGAUGGGAAACACUGUUUCAACAGAGAAUAGACACAAGUAAAGGACAAAGUGGGAUCACGAAGAAACGUAAUUGUUGAAUUGCAACAUGCAGUACGAAUCCCUUCCACAAACUCGGAAUGCGUGACUGAGCAUCGUCAAUGUUAUGAAAAUACGCAGACUGUAUUUAAAUGUGCAUUUUCUUAUCGCGCCCAAGUAUAACUAGAUUUACGAAUGAAUAAUAUAGCUCGAAACUGAAUUUUAUGUCACAUUCACACGACUCUGUAGAAGUGGUGGUCCAUAUCUAAUCGUAAAUUGUCAUGUUUAAAGGACGGAAGCGACAGAGUGAUACGCGUCUACUCCCGCCAAUUCAUCUCGUGCUGGUUCAAUUGAAAUGUAAUUAUGCUCGUUAAUACUCCAAUGGCUAUAAAAGCAACGUGUAAAAAUUCUAUAGCGAUUACAACUGCCCAUUAUAAUUACAAAAUAAUUUCCAAUUGAAUACACACUUUUGGUAUCACAAAAAUUUGGAAAUUUUUGUUCUCUGCAUGCUACGACUUAGGUGGGAAUGAAACGGUAGAUGUAUGUAGUUCGAAAUAUUAUUAAAUUCAUUUUAUUAUAUAAUCUCAUAUGAAUACAAGAAGUGCAUAAGAGUGAAGCAUUUAAUGUAGCUUUAGUUGGAAUAAGAGAAUCGAGCCCAAGACGUAGAUCCUCAGUAAUAUGUCGAACAUGAACGUAUCGAUAUCGAUUAAUAAUGAAUUAUGUAAAGCGUCAUUCUCGGGAAAAGCCAAUG